CAGCCGCCGCGGUAAUACGUAGGAUGCAAGCGUUAUCCGGAAUGAUUGGGCGUAAAGCGUCUGUAGGUGGCUUUUCAAGUCCGCCGUCAAAUCCCAGGGCUCAACCCUGGACAGGCGGUGGAAACUACCAAGCUGGAGUACGGUAGGGGCAGAGGGAAUUUCCAGUGGAGCGGUGAAAUGCGUUGAGAUCGAAAAGAACACCAACAGCGAAAGCACUCUGCUGGGACGACACUGACACUAAGAGACGAAAGCUAGGGGAGCAAAUGGGAUUAGAUACCCCCGUAGUCCCUGUCUCUUAUAC
rnacentral:rRNA from 1 species